rnacentral:pre_miRNA from 1 species
AAUGGAAUUGCUGGCUCAUAUAGUAACUCUAUGUGUAACUUUUUGAGGAACUGCCAGACUGUUUUCCAAAGUGGCUGUACCAUUUUACAUUCCCACCAGCAAU